rnacentral:rRNA from 1 species
CCUACGGGAGGCAGCAGUGGGGAAUAUUGCACAAUGGGCGAAACCCUGAUGCAGCGACGCCGCGUGAGUGAAGACGUAAUUCGUUAUGUAAAGCUCUUUCAGUAGGGAAGUAAAUGACGGUACCUGAGUAAGAAGCUCCGUCUAACUACGUGCCAGCAGCCGCGGUAAUACGUAGGGGGCAAGCGUUAUCCGGAUUUACUGGGUGUUAAGGGAGCGUAUACGGCAGUGCAAGUCUGGAGUGAAAGGCGGGGGCUCAACCACCGGACUGCUCUGGAAACUGUACGGCUGGAGUGCAGGAGAGGUAAGUGGAAUUAUUGGUGUAGCGGUGAAAUGCGUAGAUAUCAGGAAGAACACCGGUGGCGAAGGCAGCUUACUGGACUGUAACUGACGUUGAGGCUCGAAGGCGUGGGGAGCAAACAGGAUUAGAUACCCUUGUAGUC